GGGCGUAGCUCAGUUGGUUAGAGUGCCGGCCUGUCACGCCGGAGGUCGCGGGUUCGAGCCCCGUCGCCC
rnacentral:tRNA from 3 species